AUUGAACGCUGGCGGCAGGCCUAACACAUGCAAGUCGAACGAGUGGCGGACGGGUGAGUAAUGUCUGGGAAAAUGCCCGAUGGAGGGGGAUAACUACUGGAAAAGGUAGCUAAUAACGCAUACAAUCGGAGGUGCACAGAUGGGAUUAGCUAGUAGGUGGGGUAACGGCUCACCUAGGCGACGAUCCCUAGCUGGUCUGAGAGGAUGCACAGCCCCACUGGAACUGAGACACGGCCCAGACUCCUCCGGGAGGCCGCAGUGGGUAAUAUUGCACAAUGGGCGCAAGCCUGAUGCAGCCAUGCCGCUUGUAUGAAGAAGGCCUUCGGGUUGUAAAGUACUUUCAUCGAGGAGGCGUUACUCGCAGAAGAAGCACCGGCUAACUCCGUGCCAGCAGCCGCGGUAAUAC
rnacentral:rRNA from 1 species